GACGAACGCUGGCGGCGUGCUUAACACAUGCAAGUCGAACGGAAAGGCCCUGCUUUUGUGGGGUGCUCGAGUGGCGAACGGGUGAGUAACACGUGAGUAACCUGCCCUUGACUUUGGGAUAACUUCAGGAAACUGGGGCUAAUACCGGAUAGGAGCUCCUGCUGCAUGGUGGGGGUUGGAAAGUUUCGGCGGUUGGGGAUGGACUCGCGGCUUAUCAGCUUGUUGGUGGGGUAGUGGCUUACCAAGGCUUUGACGGGUAGCCGGCCUGAGAGGGUGACCGGCCACAUUGGUACUGAGAUACGGCCCAGACUCCUACGGGAGGCAGCAGUGGGGAAUAUUGCACAAUGGGCGGACGCCUGAUACAGCAACGCCGCGUGCGGGAUGACGGCCUUCGGGUUGUAAACCGCUUUCGCCUGUGACGAAGCGUGAGUGACGGUAAUGGGUAAAGAAGCACCGGCUAACUACGUG
rnacentral:rRNA from 1 species